rnacentral:rRNA from 1 species
UACGGAGGGGGCGAGCGUUGUCCGAAGUUACUGGGCGUAAAGCGCGCGUAGGCGGGCUGGCAAGUCCGCUGUGAAAGCCUGCGGCUUAACCGCAGAGGGUCGGUGGAUACUGCCAGUCUUGAAGGUGCUAGGGAGAGAUGGAAUUACCGGUGUAGCGGUGAAAUGCGUAGAGAUCGGUAGGAACACCAGUGGCGAAGGCGGUCUCUUGGAGCACUCUUGACGCUGAGGCGCGAAAGCGUGGGGAGCGAACAGG